GCACCUGUGGUGAAAAGGAUAUCACAUCGGUCUUCGGAACCGCUGUUCCAGGUUCGAGUCCUGGCAGGUGCACCA
rnacentral:tRNA from 1 species